ACGAAAAUUUACGUUCGGUACCCAAAGGCUAUAGUGGAUUAGUUGAAGCAGCUACUAUCUUAACUAAUAACGCGGAGGAGGCCGAGACGGCGAUCCACGAUCAAGAGAAUGAGGGGGUACCAUCUGACGAUGAUAGUGAUACAAUUUCUAUAGCUAGUUCACAAACUCUUACCGCUAGUUCGGAGACCCUCUCAGCCUCUGAGCGUGAUGAAAACUAAAUCAUCAACUGGAACAGCGAGGCAGGAUAAGAAGCACGAGGGCGUGCUAUUGUCAGUCCGGCCGUGACGGCGCAUAGACAUUUUUAGAGUGACGUUUUGGCACUCUGACACAACCCCGGGCGCUAGUGAGCUUGAGCGAGUGAGUCGGGACGGACAUUGGACAUUAGUUUUGUCAACGGUCUCUCGAUUCACAUCGUAUCGAUACAUUACGCGUUCGGUGGAGUGUCUCUGUGUGAUUGUUAAUCGUUAUUAAAGAACUAGUAAGAACUUUGUAGUGCUAAUGAACAAUUGUAAAUCGAAUUAUAAUUAGUGAUUAUAUUGUGUAUGAUUUG